CUGCCGGAGACCCGGGCGCCGUGGUCUUCUUUAUAAUUGAAGGAUUGUCUCUCUGUUUUUAUUUGGGGUGGGGGUGGGGGCGGCGCAGUGACUUGCUUCGACUUUGUCAGCUUCCAGGGUUCAUUCCACUGCCCAAAUAUGUAGUGAGUUACUACCGGCUUUGCUUCCUCCUUCAGCAAACGGCUGGACCACACAACUUCAGGAGAGAGGAUUUUAAAUGUUAGGGUCAUUUUCCCUGAAACGAUUUCAAAUGACGGUAACCCAGCUUAAAACAACUGCGGUUGGCCCGGGUGCCUCACUGCCCUUUGCCAAGUACCAGAGAAAGAUAAGUCCUACUAGGAACCAGAGAAAACCAGAACCAGCCACCCCUUGUUACUUUUAGAUCAUUAAUACAUCAUUAUAUGCUCCACUCCCGACCCGUAGAAGAGAAUCGCCGCCAUUUUCUGAUAGUGCAUUGUAUGAAGAGGCAUGUUUAUGAAAUGCACCUGUGCGUCUAGAGUUCCUCCCGGCAUAUGCUUGCAUGCCUCCCCACUCCACAUCUAACGCCUUACAAUUCCCCAGCUUCCCAAAGCUCCGGAAGAAGGGGGUCUCUAGAGUGAAAGUUUACUCCUUCUCUAUUCCUGGCCAGGAAUGAAACCCGCUUGCCGUUUUUUCCAGUUGGUGUGCUUUCUUUGCAACUGAUACAGACUAGGAAAAGAACGCAAUUUACCAGUAACAGUAGAGCUGGGAUUUAAAUCUAAGUGUUUUGACUUCAAAGACAAGGUUCCAAGCUGCUACACAUACCAAUUCUCGUUAAAGUGUAUUCCAUUUCUUUUGUGCUUUCAUAUUGACCAUUGUGUGUUAAUCCUUUCAAUUGGAAGAAGAGGGAGACAGUGCCAGUUAUUGCAAACUUUCACAGUCCACAGGCCCGAUAUGUAGCCUUCACCACCCACAGGUUCUGCCACUUCUGGGGCAUUAUAUUCCAUCAAGAUGGAGGCACCUGCCAUCCACAUACCAGCCCUGGAACUCAUCCCUUCCCCCAGACUUGGAAACGCCAACUCUCCCUGACCAGUGUCGAGCCACUUCCUCAUCUUGAUACAUCAGCCACUAUCCUUUCCAUCUUUCAGGCAAGUCCAGCUUAAUUUCUCGAUGGCCUUGCCCUUCUAAAAGGCCGUUCUCUUUUCCCAGAUGACUUUUUCCUAUCCCCUCCACAGUAACUCCCCUCAUCCUUCCAGUCUCAAUUCAAUUGUCCGUUGGUGGGGUGGGGCGGGGGGAGCCUUCUUAAACCCUCCUCCCUCACAACUGCAUGAGGUCCCUUGUCUCUAAUAUAAGCUCCUGUAGCACCAUGGCACUUAUCCCAGUUGAGAUUUUAAAUAUAUUUCUGUGUAUUUGAUUAAAGUUUCUCUCCUCCA